rnacentral:rRNA from 1 species
AGUGGCGCACGGGUGAGUAUACCAUAGAUAAUGUACCUCUUAGUUCGGGAUAGCCACUGGAAACGGUGAUUAAUACCGGAUACUCCUUCUUAUUAUAAGAUAAGUCGGGAAAGUUUUUUCGCUAAGAGAUCAGUCUAUGUCCCAUCAGUUUGUUGGUGAGGUAAUGGCUCACCAAGACUAUGACGGGUAUCUGGUUUGAGAGGAUGAUCAGACACACUGGAACUGAGACACGGUCCAGACUCCUACGGGAGGCAGCAGUGAGGAAUAUUGCACAAUGGAGGAAACUCUGAUGCAGCAACGCCGCGUGGAGGAUGACGCAUUUCGGUGUGUAAACUCCUUUUAAGAGGGAAGAUAAUGACGGUACCUCUUGAAUAAGCACCGGCUAACUCCGUGCCAGCAGCCGCGGUAAUACGGAGGGUGCAAGCGUUACUCGGAAUCACUGGGCGUAAAGGGUGCGUAGGCUGGCUUCUAAGUCAGAUGUGAAAUCCAAUGGCUCAACCAUUGAACUGCAUUUGAAACUGGGAGCCUAGAGUUCAGAAGGGGCAGAUGGAAUUAGUGGUGUAGGGGUAAAAUCCGUAGAUAUCACUAGGAAUAUCAAAAGCGAAGGCGAUCUGCUGGGAUGAUACUGACGCUGAGGCACGAAAGCGUGGGGAGCAAACAGGAUUAGAUACCCUGGUAGUCCACGCCCUAAACGAUGAAUGCUAGUCGUCGGGGAGCUCGUCUCUUCGGUGAUGCACUUAACAGAUUAAGCAUUCCGCCUGGGGAGUACGGUCGCAAGAUUAAAACUCAAAGGAAUAGACGGGGACCCGCACAAGUGGUGGAGCAUGUGGUUUAAUUCGAAGAUACACGAAGAACCUUACCUGGCCUUGACAUGGUAGGAACCCUUAAGAGAUUAGGGGGUGCUAGCUUGCUAGAACCUACACACAGGUGCUGCACGGCUGUCGUCAGCUCGUGUCGUGAGAUGUUGGGUUAAGUCCCGCAACGAGCGCAACCCUCGUCCUUAGUUGCUAACAGUUUGGCUGAGCACUCUAGGGAGACUGCCUUCGUAAGGAGGAGGAAGGUGAGGACGACGUCAAGUCAUCAUGGCCCUUACGGCCAGGGCUACACACGUGCUACAAUGGGGCGUACAGAGAGCUGCAAUACCGGCGAGGUGGAGCCAAUCUCUUAA